AACAUUACGGAGCUCUCGGUUUUGAGCAUAUCACACAUGGACGCUCAUCAUCUUCUUAGUUGAGAUCAUUGCAUGCUAUCGCUCAUCUUCUCUGAGACCAAGGCUCGCCGCUCACACACACCAUCGAACAGCCGCCGCACUUCUUCCUCUGAGUUUAGACCGUCGCACACAGUCAUUGCACAAGCUGUAGCUCGCCACUUCACGUCACAGAGUCGAUCGCACAUCUGGGAUUGGGUUUUAGUUUGGUCACGGACUCAACGCACAGAAUCGCUCAUCUCUCUCUGGAUUCAGUUCGGUCGCCGCCUCAAACGCAGAUUCAUUGCACACUGUCGCGUAUUUCCCUUUCAAUCAAUAAAAAUUUCAGAGGCAUUAGACUUGGGGUUCAGCUUUUGUGCAGCUCACAAACUCACCAGCUUCAGACUGAUAUUUGCUGUCAAAUUCAGAAAAGUGGACUAAAUUUGAAUGAGCAUGUGAAGAUUCCAAUAAACAUCUCCAAAUUCUCAAAGGAGUUUGUGUUACAAUGAAGCCGCCUAUGACUAGUUUGAAGAAUUUAAUGUUGAAGGUCUUCUAUUUCACCUUGGAGGAUACGGUCAUCACUUGGUUUAAUACUUUGGCUAUUAAGACCAUCAAUUCAUGGGUAAAAUGAAACAUUGGUUUUUAGAGAAGUACUUUCCAAAAACUAAAUACUCUCAAUUGAGGAAGCAAAUAAUGGAAAUUCAACAAUUUCUUCAAGAAUUUUUAUAUGACUAUUGGAUGAGGUACCUUGAACUCCUAGCAAGAUGUCCAUAUCUCUCAGUUGGUGAAGAGUUUCUCAUUGAAUAUUUCCAUGUUGGACUCUCAAUUCAUGAUAGAGAGACUAUAGAUUCAGCUAUUAAUGGAUCUUUACUUGAUUUGCCUCCUAAUGAAGCUUGGAAAUUGGUAGAGAAUAUGACCAAUAAUAAUCAACAACACAACACAAGGGAGAACACAAGAGGUGUGAAUGAAGUCUAUGAAGCUUCAAUUUCUAGUACUCAACUAGAUGAUAUGUGUAAUGAUCCUAAAUUUAAUAUAAAAAAAUUCUCCCAAGGGAUAUAUUAUUUAAAUAAGUUUUGUUUGUAAGUUUGAUUUGAUUUUUUUUAUUUAUAUUAAAUUAUGGAAAAAGUUUGGGUCCUUUUUGUAAUUUUGUUUGGUCUUUCUUGUAAUUGUCCUUGGGCUCUUCUUGCAAUUUUCCCAAAACUCCCUUGAUCUGAUAAUAUAACUUCGCGUGUAAGAAAAAACAGAGCAGUCGCAUUUGCUUCUUCACCAACUUGGAGCUCCCUUUUCUUGUCACUGUCAAACCCUUCCUCCUCACCUUCGACUUGUUCUAUUACUCACCGUCGGCAUGCCUCUUAAUUCACUGGUGCGUUUCCACUGUCCGUUCGUUUUCUGUCUGGAGCUGAGCUGAGUCUCUGUUCUGUUUUGUUUCGCUGUGCGGUGGCUGGAAGAGUUCGUGAGGUGUGUGUGUCAGUUACCAUCGUGUGUUUGUCACUGAGAGAGCAUGGGGUUGCUGGAAUUCAUUAGCUUGUCGUUCCUUAUGGCUGUCUCUGUUCCAGGUUGACAUCCGUGCGUGUACUCGUGCUCAACAUGAGAUAUUGGGUUAUAGCUAUGGUCUCGUGACUUAACCAGUGGAGGGUGCCUUCAACGUGCUUGUGGAAAAGCUUGAAUGAGAAACUUCGGUGUUGUUUAGAUAAUAUGUGUGCUACUUCACUGAUGCCGAGUUAAGAAUUAAUGAAGAAAUUAAAUGCUGGGAAUUGUUGGACUUGGAUAUUUGCCUCAUAGUUUAAUUGAUAAUGAAUAUUCUCUUAGAGCUGGAAAAUAUGCUCAAAAGAUUUGUUUGUAGACAUAAGAUUGUUAAAUUUUUAUGAUAGAGUUUAGAAAAAUUAUAAAUAUUA